CAAAUUCUGAAAUCCAUUGGCCUGCGAAGUCCUACUCUGUUUUGCUUUCCCGCGUUGGCUUCGAUUCUUAGGGCUCCCGUCACAGCGGAGCUGGAGUUCUUCUUUCGUCGCCACAUCUCCAAGAAAAGUAGUUGCUGGUAUAAUCGAGGAGGAUACGUGGGCGUGACAUGGAGAUGUGGCUCUUGGCGCUUAUGAAAGCGAAUUCUAAGUUCUUGUUAUCAGAAUAGCUUAAAAGAACAGUGUGAGAUCACAUCAUCCCAAAAAAAAUAAGAUUGAGCACUGGUCAAAUCUUUAUGUCGACGUCUUCCAUGGAUUUCAUCUUUUUCGUUGGACAAAACCAGUCUUCGACACAUGCAAAUGCACGUGAGGGACUCUCGACAAAAUACCAUGUGCUGCGAUGCGACGGUGCAAAACAAUGCCGUUUGCCACCGAAUUGCCGGUAGUGGGAGGCCAAUUGAAUUAUA